rnacentral:rRNA from 1 species
UACGUAGGGUGCGAGCGUUGUCCGGAAUUAUUGGGCGUAAAGAGCUUGUAGGCGGUUUGUCGCGUCUGCUGUGAAAAUCCGGGGCUCAACCCCGGACUUGCAGUGGGUACGGGCAGACUAGAGUGUGGUAGGGGGAGACUGGAAUUCCUGGUGUAGCGGUGAAAUGCGCAGAUAUCAGGAGGAACACCGAUGGCGAAGGCAGGUCUCUGGGCCGAUACUGACGUGAGGAGCGAAAAGCGUGGGGGAGCGAACAGG